AUUGAACGCUGGCGGCAGGCCUAAUACAUGCAAGUCGAACGAGUGGAGGACGGGCGAGCAGUGUCUGGGAAACUGCCUGACGGAGGGGGCUAACUACUGGAAACGGUAGCUACAAGUGCUUACCAUCAGUUGGGCUCUCGGGGGUUUAGCUAGUUGGUGGGGUAACGGCUCACCAAGGCGACGAUCCCUAGCAGGUCUGAGAGGGUGACCGGCCACACUGGAACUGAGACACGGUCCAGACUCCUACGGGAGGCAGCAGUGGGGAAUAUUGCACAAUGGGCGCAAGCCUGAUGGAGCAAUGCCGCGUGUAUGAAGAAGGCCUUCGGGUUGUAAAGUACUGUCGGCGGGGAGGCGUUACCCACAGAAGAAGCACCGGCUAACUCCGUGCCAGCCGCCGCGGUAAUAC
rnacentral:rRNA from 1 species